UUGGUCUUGUAAGCCAAAGAAYGAAGACUCACCUCUUCUUAGAGUU
rnacentral:tRNA from 1 species